rnacentral:rRNA from 1 species
UGAGGAAUAUUGGUCAAUGGGCGGGAGCCUGAACCAGCCAAGUCGCGUGAGGGAAGAAGGUACUGAGUAUUGUAAACCUCUUUUUGCCAGGGGACAAAGGCGGCCACGGGUGGCCGUAAGAGGGUACCUGGAGAAAAAGCAUCGGCUAACUCCGUGCC